AAAACCAACGGGUGAGAGCACACACAAUACAUGGUAUAGUAUUGACAAUGUAGUAAUAUAGUAUUGUAUUUUGUGUGUGCUCUCACCCAUUGGUUUU